AUAUGUUCUCAGCAACUGCAUGAAAAGAAGCUUCUUUCCCAUUCCAUCUAUCAGAAGCCCCCGGUACCAGGCUCUAAAAUGACCAACCUGGGUCAAGUGUUCAUUCUUGUACUCUUCUCUAUGGCCAGAGAGAACAGGAACAAACCAGAGAAAAUUAUAUGUGUGAGAAUGGAAUAAGGGCUAUCAGAAGAUAGAAAUUUUGACAUAUUUCUGGAAGAUGGAAGCAUAAAGCAGACUGGAAGAAGCUCUAAUCCAGAAAACAUACAGAAGCCUUCAACGGAUGUGUGGGCUGCUCUUCCUGAGAGAACCAUAAGAAGAUUCCAAGCUUGGCAACGGCAGGUAUGGGGACCAGCAAUAGGAAAUAAGGUUCACAGGUGCUGUGAUGUCUUUCACAGGCAAUGGAUAAAGCAUCCUGCAUUGUCCUAGGCACACUCUGUAGGGAAGAUAUGGGAAUCUGAAGUCAACUUUGCCAAAAUUGCUAGAAGAGAUCAUUUAAAUGGCUUCCAGAGUUCUGGAUGAACAGUUUCUUCAAGAAGGAAUUUGGUGAGGAUUGCUAAUGUGAGAUGAGAAUCUACUCACAAACAUUAAGAAGGUAACAUGAUGAGUGAAGUAAAGGUAGGUUAUAGUUGAAAGAGCCACAGGAAACUCUGUGUCCUUGCUUCCCUUUCACGCGUAUGGACUCAUAUUCCAUGAUUGAAAGGGGCUGCUACUAAGAGAAAGCAUGCUCUCAGAUAACCGUUUUCAGAUAACGUCGAGAAAGUGAGAGUAUACACAGAUCAACAUGAUGGUCCACUUAACGGGGGAAGAGAGUAAAAUGUUGGUGUCACUGACAAGGAUGGCAACAUUUAAAUGUUCAGAUCCUUACAGGAGAAGCAUUGCAGUCACUUGACAAUCUCAAGCUAUGUGUUUCUUCAGUGCUUCUUGAAAACAUUUAUAAUACAGAAGAUGGUUUUAAAAAAUGUAUAACUUUUUCAAUGAAAAUGUGAAUUUCAACACCUUAAAAAGCAUAUUAUACUACUGUGAAGUGCUCAUGGUUCAUUUUAUUUAACUCACCUUCUAGAUAACUUCUUAGAAAAAUAGGACUCAAUUUAAUUUUAAAAUCAUUUUAAAAUUACAUGAAAUGACAUAAGGAGAUGAAUGCAAUAGUUGCUAAUGUUUCUUGGAGGAGUCAUGGGGCAAA
rnacentral:lncRNA from 1 species